GGCGCUUUGACACAAUCUACAUUGUAAAAGCGCC
rnacentral:misc_RNA from 1 species